CGGGGCGACUGGCGUAAUAAUGGCGAUAGUGUGUAUAAUUCAUCAGUCUACAGCGUAAACAUGGAGCAGGGUGUGAUGGAGCAGUGUGUGGCUGGUCUGUACCAGUCUUUAGGUCGUUCUCUUGGAGGACAGCUUUCUCCUCAGGAAGUGUGUGUUCUGUUCCACAAGGUGUUCCAUCUACACACCGGCUUGGAGGAUGCACACACAGCUAUAAAGAAGGUUGCAGGGGAUGAUGGGAGUUGGUCCUGCAGUGAUGGAAAGGUUUUAGAAGUUCUCCUUGAGAUGGAAAGAGAGAGAGAAAGGAGAGACGAGAUCUACUGGGACCUUCAGUUGCUCAACACAGGAAAACUCAGAGACCUGUACCACACAGACACACACACACACACCACAGACACACAUACAAGAGACACGCACACCAUACACCUCAACCAAGACCUGUACCACACCACCAGUCAAGCGCAGUACGACAGAGACACACAGAACAUACCCACAGAGAAAGAAAAGGGAAAGGAGAGAAAAGAGGGAGGAGUGUGUGGGUGGAGACUGAGGAGAGCAGUUAGACAGCGCUGGGCCAGACUGGUGCAGGAGGGUGUGUGUGGAGCCCUGCCGUCUUUAAGUGGUGGUCGGGGGUCAGGGGUGAGAAGUCAGGCAUUGGGGUGUGUCUCUCUGUCAGAGCUACUCCUACUGGUAGGAGUGAAGUAUGAUGCCGUCACACACAUACUCUUCACAGAGAUGCUGCAGGAACACCAUGGGCUGGUUGCCUGGAAGGCACUGUUGCCAUGGGAGCGUGAGGAGAGGGAGGCGGAGCUAGGUUUGCUAUGGGAGGAGACUCAGGAGUCAGAUGACAGGCUGAGUCUGUCUGACCUACCUGGAGCCUUCAGGAUAUACAGGUGCAGUGAGGGUGUGUCCCUGAGGGGCUGUCCUGAUUGGGUGAAACCCAGGGAGCAGUCUUGGUCGGCCAUCUCUCUCCUCACUGAAAUACACACCAGCCUUGAGCACGAGACAAACACUCUCACUGCCCUGGCCAAGAGACUGGACAGGGAAACCCUGCAGUUGAUGGGUCUGUAUGCCAGCCUGGCCACCAUCAGAGCUCAGAGGGAGACACUGUCCCAUGGUGCACUGCUGGCAGCCAGACAGGACUGGGAGACAUGGCCCAGGAUUAUAGGGUCCUGCAAAAGAGAUCAGGCCCAGCUCUGGCUGCAGGAGAAGGAGGAGGAGGAGGAGGAGGAGGAAGAAGAGGAAUCCUCUGUCUUUCAACAACAGGUGGUGCUGAGGUGUCUGGUACUGAAUCAGGAGUGGGAGAGAAAGUGUCUGCUGAGGCUGCUGCACGGGGACUCCCCAGACAAGCUACAGGGACCAGGAGAGCAGAAGUCACCUAUAGAGGGUGUUGUGUUAGCAGAGUGGGUCCAGCAAAGGGAGGAGGCGCUGAGAGCGGGGUGUAUGAGCAGGCUGAGACACACACACACCUUCCUGCUGACUCAGGCCCAAACACAUGCCCAGCUCCAGUCCUGUCUUCAGCCCCAAACCCUGCCAGCACAGGGCCCUGCCCAGCCCCAGCCCCAGUCCCAAACCCAAUCCUCCCUCCAGCACCAGUCCCAGUGGGGAGGCUGUGCUCUGGUCCUGCUGGUUGAGCUGAUGGAUCUUCAGGAGGCCCAGGUCUCUGCAGUGCUGUCAACUCUACUGGACAGGGGUGAACAGUGCCUGCUGUCCCUGAUAGAAGAGUAUGAGUCUGAACUCAGAGAGCUUCGUCUCUCCUGCUUGCUCACACUCCUCACCUCUAACCCCUGCCUGGCCUCGGACCCCAACACACUACUGACUGUUGUUGACCCCUGCCUGGGGCCUUCUGACUCAAUCUCAGUCCAGAACAUCUCCUCGGCCUCCCCGCCCACAGACCUGACCAGAGGUGACCCAGAAUACCAACACACAGGGGACCUCUGCACAGGCUGUGGGACGGCCCUGGCCCCGGAGGACCUGCCCUAUCUGGAGAUCCUGUGUGUUUCAGACACCAUCCACUCCCUCGACACACACCACACACCCUCUGCCUCCAAUGGAUUAUCUGCAGAGCGAGAGGUGUGUGAGGGACGAGAGGCGAGGGAGGGCAGCCACAGAAAGACUCCUCAGAGCUAUGAGAAGCAGGGUUCUCUCAUCACUCUGGCCUGGAGCAAACCACCGGAUGGAGACACUGAGCAGCAGACAGGAACAGUCAUGUCUACUGCAACAGAGCAACAAGAGGAAGUGGGUGAGGUGAGUGUGCACUGUGACACACACAACACCCCCGGAUACACACCCUAUGACGCACCUGGACACAUACACUACAACGACACAACCAGAGACACAGACCAGGUGAAGGUGUUGGACUCGUCUCUGUUCCAGUACAGCUCUGAGGUUGAACAGCUCUUACCGCCUACAGACCAACACCCCAUCACGGGCCAGAAGGAGUUGGUGAUGGAGCAGUCAGAGAAGACAGAAACACUUUCUAAUGUGCCCACACACACCCCUAUCACACACACUGAGGAGCCUCCAACAUGGGGCAGAGCCCAGCAGGAGGCUGAGAAAAGGCGCGGAAGUCCACCUGUCGAUGAGGAACACACUGAUGACCUCACUGCUUUGGGAGCCAAUGGAAGUGCUUACCCGCACUCUUUGGGAGGGGAGAGGGAGGACAUGACAGAGCUCUGGGCCCUGAGUAGACCUGCACCCCUUACAUCAGCCCAGGAGACCCUCAACAUCCCACACACUACUCUAGAGGGAGACAGAUCAAUGGAGGGAGAGAAAACAAUGGGGAGUGUGAUGGAGAGAGAGAGGACAUUGGAGCCAGUCUCUAUGAUGGAGAGAGAGAAAACAAUGCGCAGCUUGGUGGAUCUGCAGAGGAAGGUGGAGCAGAAACAACAGCGAGACAGAGAGAGACAAUUACUGAGGGUCCAGGAGCGGCUGUCAAUCAUUCAGAACAAGAAGUCCCAGGAAGACCUGAUGGGCCUCAGACAGACUGACAGACUCCGGCACCUCACACAUAACCUGCCCCAGGCGGAUAAGAGCCAGCAGAAGACAGUGGUCAGAGAAAGACUGGAGCAGCUGAGGAGAGAACGCUCCUAUGUCAUGCAGUCCAAACGAGACAGGAAUACAGCAGGCUUCAAGGAGCUGCUGGGUCCAGUGAGACUCCACAGUGCAGAGACAGACGACACUGCUGACUCACUCAGGCUAGCCACCAGCGCAAGCUAA
ensembl:lncRNA